CCUCCCAUUCGCUUCUUACGUAGUCGAUUCUCUUUCGAUUUUCACUGUCUAAUUUUCUAUUUUCAAGGUUUUUUUCUCUCUCUUACCCAAAUUACUUUUGUUUUGGAUAAUUUAUUUUCGACCCUUAGCCCCGAUCAUCUUUAUCUUCUUCAUCUCGUCAUCAUUUUCGUUUCAAAAUCUUGGUAUCAUCAACCAACAAAGAGUAAUUUUCAUCUUCUUUCUUCCAUCUUCCAUUAUCUUCUCUGUCUAAAUUAUGUAGAAUUUGUUUAUUUGUUUAUUUCCCUCCUUUUUUUGGGUCUUUGUUUUUCUGGUUUUUUCUCUCUCUCUCUCUCAGGGGUCAAUGGUCGAUGAUGAAUCGUUGGUAUCAUCAACUUGUUUAUCAUCAUUUGUAUUAGAAAUUAAUUCAUCUGGUUUGGAUUAAGUAAACAACAAGGUUUUCUUAUCUUCUUCUUAUCCUCUAAAUAAUCACUAUUUGUUGUUACAUCAUCUCUGUCAUCAUCAUCAUCAUCAACCCUUUUUUACGAUCAUCUGAUAAUCAUCAUCAUUGUCAUCACCUGAAUGUGAAUUCUUUUUUUGUAUUGGCACCUUCUUGGUUCAGUUUUCUAGAGCGAGAACCCCAAAGGAUAAAACUGGUUCAAUUGGAGGGAAAUGGAUGGAUUAUUGUGAUGAUAAUUAACCAGAUAGAACGUGAUUUGUAUCUGCUAAUUACAGUAAUUUAGUUUAUCCACAAUGUGAAUGAUCCUGAUAGAAAAGAGGAAUCAAAUGAGAUAAUCGGAGGGAACUCACAAUCCAUGGAUUCUGAUGGAGAUCAUGAGAGGAGGAAGAACGUGAUUUAAGUCAAGUAACUGAAGGAAAUGAAUUCGAAGACGAAAACAACGAACAAAAAUCAUGGAUAGAAUCAGCGAACUUUUUUCUGCCUCUCUCCAGGAAGAAGAGAAUGCGAAGAUGAACGAAGAAAGUUUUAAAAAUAGACGAUAAUUAACUGAUUAAGGGGAAGAUUGUGAUGAAGAUUGUGAUGAUGGAAAAAGGAAAAGGUUAUUCAGUAGCAAUGAUCUCUCCCAAUUGAUGAGUAUGAUGAAAAAUACCAUAGACAAAACAAUAUCCUACUCAAGGUGGUUUUCCCAUUUAGAUUUUAAUGAUUGUAUUGAUUAAUCAAUAUGAUAAUUAUUCUCAUCCUUUUGAUUACUUUUCAUCUUAAUCAUUAUUCAAUCAACCAUCAAUUUCAUUCUGAAACGUGGUUCAGCCUUAAGGUGUCUUAUUGUUCAAGUCAAACAAGUGAUAUUGUAAUAGGAUUGGAAUCAAAUGGAAUACAAGUAAAUUAAUUACCACGAGAAAAGUUUUGUUAAUUGUUGAUGAUUUUCUGGUUAAGUUUCAAAACUUCAAUCAAUAACCUGACAAGAUGAUAAUCAUGAUCGCUGGUUGAGUGUGGUUCAAUUUUCCUUUCGAGUGAUUAGUUAAUUUUGUGAUAAUCUAAACAACAUUUAACUUGAUUGUUUCGAUUCCGGUUAUUUUAUUUGCUUUCUAUCAAUCGUUGAUAGUUUUACACAAUUAAUCUAACCAUUGAUCAUCUUAUUGAUUGUUGAUAACAGAACUUACAAUUACAAUCUUUUGAUCACUUUUUUGCAACAAUCAACAGAAAAAAACACUUUUUCUCAUCAACAAUUAGUCAUUGUAACUGUUAAUUGUUACAUCUUUGGUAAACAAUUCCCAAUGAAAUUCAACAUAUGACUUACUGAUUAUUCUGAAUUGAAUCUCUAAUGAUUACAAAUCAAUCAAUUGAUUUAUUCCUCUGACAAUUUAUUUCAAUUUCAAUCUUACAAUGACACUUGGUAAUCUCAAUUUACUGUUAAUCUUAAACGCGUUCGAAGUUAAUUGUAAUUACAAUCAACAAGGAAUUGAACUAAUGUCCAAUUGUUUGAAAGAAAAAAUUUCCACAACCUUAUUUGAUAUUCAGAAGUUCAGAACUUUUUCUGACGAUGGAGGAUCAUCAUGAUCUUCGAACUCUAAAAUUGAGUUCUUAUCAUUAAUUCAGCACCAUGAACAUAUAUUCUAUUGAUAAUCGUCAGAAUUUCUGAAAAUUCGGAUAAGGUAACAAUUAACUAUUUUCGUUGUUGGAGUUAAUUGAUGCCCUUACCUUGGAGAAUCAAGAAUCUGUGUUAAUUUUUUUUUUUCAUCUCACAGAAGUUGAUGAAUCUUUUCAUGGAAAAACAAAACUUUGUCACCAAUAUUUCACCUUGAGUAUGAAUCUUCAUUUGAAUUAUAUUAUCUUCCUAUUACCACGUUUUCUCAGUUUUCAUUUCAAUUCUUACCUUUUAAUGUUUUCAGUUUUCUCUUUACCAGUUACCUUUAUUUACUCACCUGUGAAAUAAAAGUUCAGCUGAAUUUACCUUUAAGAUUAUUCAUCAUUCUCAUGUCAUCUCCCCAUUCAUAUGACCUGUAAGAAAAUCACCAACGUGUCUUUUCACUUCAUUUCCUGAUGAUGAAUUUCCAUGACUCAUAUUCAGUCGAUUAUUGUCUGAAUCAACAGAAAUAUCAGAUGAAAACAAAAGGAUUGCGAUCUCAAAGUGAUUUUUAAGGUGAACGACAAUCAAGAUUUGGAUAAACAAUUAAACAUUGGGAACAGAAAAUAUCAUCAUGUGUAAAUAUCAACAACAAGGAUGAAACAAUGAGCUUACAGAGUGCAAACAUCAUCAUUGUUGUUGUUGUUUUCUACUCCAUUUAAAUGAUGCGGAAAAUGAUGCAUCUUGAUAAGUUAAUUAGUUGAUACAAUUAAAUUGGUUGGGUGAACAGGAUUGAAGAGAGUGAGAGAGAUACAUUUAGAUAGCUGUUAAAUAUGUGUAACCUUUUUUUUUCUUGCCUACACAUCAUUAUCUUCAUCAUCUUGAUGAAACUUAACAACAACAACAUCAAGUAAGCAUCAUGAUGAUAAGUAUCAUGAGACAGUUGAAAACAAGUUGAAAUGAUGAACAAAAAAAUCCUUGUGACUUCAGGCAUCAGAAUAUGUCAUAUGUACCUUGUUAUUUUCAACUUAACCCAACCGUUGAUUGUUCAUGAUUGUUCAUCAUUGAACUUUGCUGUUGUUGUUUUUUUUUCAUGAAAAAAAAGUUCCGUUUGUCACCAGAAAUUGUUGCCAAAAAGAUUCAUAUUUAUCCUCCAAUAGUUGUCACAAUUAUUGAUUAUCUAAUUUGAAAAUUAACUUCAAUUGAUUAACUUUUUCCUCUCUUUUACUUUCAUAUGAUUUUCCUCACACAGAUUCUCAUUCCCAUGGUAUUUAAUUAUGAACAUCAAGGGUCAAUGAAGAAAACGACUUGAAUCAAUCAAUUGAAAUCAUCUGAUGAUCACAAUCAAUUUAUUUGUCUCGGUUUUUUAAUCAUUGUAACAAUUAUAACAACGAAAACAACGUGAAAGCUGAAAUUUUAAAUUUAAUUGUUGAUCCUUGUUCCAGUUGAUUGGUUAAUUGUUGUGUUUACCCUUUAAUCAGGCAAAACCGGCUUUUCAAAUGAUUACAAUUUGUCAUUGAUUUACUUUACUUUUUUUCAUAAUCAAACUCACAUGAUUAUUAUCCAGGUAAAUUGUCAUCUCAUUUUCAAUUUAACCUUGUAAUUUAUUUAUCGCUUUCAUCAUCAUCAUCAUUAAAUUAUGAAUCAUUUUCAU